GAAGUCUUACAAUCUUCGAUCUUGUUAACAAAUGCAUUCUUGCAAUCUUCGAUCUUGUUAACAAAUGCAUAAUCUUAGCAUGUAUUUUGUUGAUAAGGAUAAAAUAGGAUUAAAGAAAAUUAUAUAAAGGUAUAGUUGAAAAAGAAAAAUGAAAACCAUGGCACACCACCAAUUUGAUGGUUCAAUAAAUUGCUUCAUUCCAUGGUUAUCAUACCAUAGAAUAGUAACAUACCAUACCACCAUUUUUAGAAAACCAUGGAAACAAACAUGGUUCCCAUGAUAACCAUAUCAUACCGGGAAACCACCAUCCAAACAGGCUGUUAAUCCCCAAAUUUCUCAUUUUCAUUUGCAUUAUAAUUGUAUUAUUACCUCAGAUCUGGAAAAAAAAUUGCUCUUAAGCAUAUCUCUUAGCAUUUCUGAUUUGAGAAUGAGCAUGUUGAUGCUGUAACAAAAGGAGAACCUGCUGAGGUGUUGUCUGGAUAUGGUUAUAAGUAAGCUCUCACUUGUUCUUAAAUACUCUGUUUCCUGGGAGGAACUAUAGAGAAGGCAAGGUCAAAUACACAUGUCUCUGAAGAUGCAGACUACUUGCACUUGAACAGAAAGACACUAUGAAGCUCUUCAGGAAAGGAUGGUAGUUGCAGAUGCUGAAUAUGUAGUUGGAUCACAGUUGCUACUCUGAUUCUGCAGCUUUCUCUUGAUUGUUCGUUGCUCAUUCGAAGUAGUCCUGUAUCUGAGCCCUCUUCUUCUGGAAGUACGGAAGAGGCAAGGCCAAAUGGGAACAAAGAGCGUGCAGGUGUGCUCAAGUCUUCUGGAAGUAUGGAAGAGGUAAGGCCAAAUGGGAACGAAGAACGUGCAGCUGCGGUCGUGUCUUCUAGAAGUACGGAAAAGGUAAGGCAAAGUGCGAUAAAAGAACGUGCAGCUGAGCUUGCUUCUUCUGGAAAUAAAGUAGAGGUGAUAUACCAUACCACAGCAGAGUAAAUCUGGAGCUGGAGGCUACCAUAAAGUUCUAAUGUAACGACAACGCUAAGAAGUAUUGGCGGACAUAAGCAAUUUGGUGCUAGCAAUGUGUUGUUACUGAAUGAUGAAUUUCGUCUAACGCCUCAUGUCAUGCCUUUGGGGUAAUAUCUGCUGCACUUCUGUACAUUAAGGAUGAUUUUCCUGAAGUCAGUCAAAGCAGUUUCCUACAGUCACAUGAAUAACCAACUUCAUUUGGAGGUCCAUCGUAGAUUCUGGACGUAACCAUUAAAUAAAAAGUGAUCGCAACAACAACUUUUUAAAGCUGGUCCAUCUUUAUCAUAUGAAUUGUUGGAAUGAUAGAAAAUUAAUGGAUGGUAUUAUCUUUUAAAAUGCAAGCAUGUAUUUGAACUGUGUUCAUCACUGGCUGUGUUUUGCCUAAAAAUCUGGAGCUAAUUAGCAUCUUAGCUGUUUCAGUUGGUCUUUUAUCAUCGCAAAUAAUAUGGUGUUUGUUGGAAAUGUAAUUUAAUUAGUUGGUGUGAUACAUGUAGAACAUUUUGGCCCAAGAAUACUUAUAACAAGAUUCAUUUUUGCCAGUUUAUCAGCUGUGAUAUAAGGUUAGUUUACAUGCAAUUUUAUUUGUCUGAUUUGUAGAAACAACUUCAAUAUAUUUUUCGUGGGUAUACUGGAUUUGUACGUGGUGUUGCUGUUGCUUCUGUUAUGUUUGGUAUGAUAUACGUCUUUCUUUGCCCUCGCUCAAAUCUUUCUUCUGCCACCACCCAUCCCUCAAAGGCCCCAAGAUAUCCCAAUUGUCUUAUUAAUUAUCUCUGACUGAAAUGCUUCAAUGUUCCAGCAAAACUGUCCAUCCCAGUGGCAUGUUGCAAUGCUCUUCAUCCAAAUACCGUGACUAUGUCCUAUGUCUUUUGUUUGUUUAUCUUAGCUUUAACUAAUAGGUUCCGCAUUCCACUAGAUUCAUGUAACAACCCUAGGCAAAUCCCACAAUCGACAAACACGGAAGAGAUGCUAGGUAUAUAAGAAAGCAAGCGUUAGAUUCUAAUGAUGUGUUUUAAAUCCGUGCAGGCCGAGGCCCAAAACAGACAAUAUCAUUAAGGGGCUGACUGUGAUAGCUCAUGUUUCUACUGUUGUUUAGUGACCGAGAAUGAUCAACUUUAAAAUGAUUUCUGUUGCUCUCAAGAAGAAGAAUGUUUAAUGUAUGUGAAGAAAAAAAAAUUAAUGUAUGCCUUAAAGAAAAAAUAGAAGAAUGUAUGCUACUGUUUGAGGUGAAAUAGUCAUGAGGUAGUGGUAACGUCUGAUUCUUUUAGCUCACCAGAUUUAGGCAGAUAUUUUAUAAUUUGUCCUUUAAUACAUUAAUUACGAUACUGAGAAGCUGGAGAUUAUUUACAUCUGACACUUACUUGUACAUUGAGAUACAAAUCUCAAAAUACUAUAUUCCUAAGUAGUAUGGACUCAUUACUUCCGAGAUGCCAAACCCGUAUGGGAUUCUCCAAAAAAAGCACUACUUCAAGAGAAUCCGAUAUGCACCCGCUAAUAUUUUUAAAGAGUCCAAGAAAUAUAUCUUAUACAGAUGGAUUUGUAUAACAAUCUUAUUUUUAUAUUUCUGUAGUAUAGGAUUAUUUAGCUGUAUGACUGAUGAAUAGGAAAAUUGUUGUCUGUGUAACUGAUGAAUAGGAAAAUUGUUGUUUGAUGUAUUUACUGUGAAAGCUGGUUGUACUUUUAAGUUUGUUCAAUUCACAAGGAUAGCGUUAUUGAGGUGUGUGCUUUAGAAGUUCCAUUAGAAAUUGACUAAAGAAAUUUCCUGCAAGUCUACGUUAAUUUUAAUUUACCGUCCACUCAUGCUAUACUUAUGCUAUAUCUACUUGUUGUUAAUAGAUCGAUAAGGAUAUUGUUCCGAAAGAUAACUCUUCUAUAGAGUUCAUUAAUAUCUGAGCUCAUUAGUUUACCCCGAUCUAUCUGAAUGAUCGGUACGCAAAGGUAAUGUCCAGUAUGUUUCUGAUUCAGCUUUCUCCUUGUCCUCUUGUAAUGGAACAUAAAUUGAUGGAUUUUUCUUUGUGGUUGGGGUGGAAUGCCUGAUGGAUAUAUAGAUUAUUGCAGAUAGAGGUGAGUGAAUUUCUAAGACAAUGUCUUUGUUAUCAUUUCCAUUUCGUUCUUUUCAUUUGCUGUGGGAGCAACUGAUUCAUUUGGUAGGGUGACUCAAAGGGAACGGCAAAGGCUGCUGAUGGAUCUUCUAAAAGAGAUGAGAUGCAACCUGGUCCGAACUCACAGCUUGCACAUCAAGGCUCAUUCUCACAAGAAUGAAUUAUGGUAACUCUCAGAUCACACACUUUGCUCGAAGGACUACUAGCUUGCGAGUAUACUCUGGUCAGAUCCUCUUAACGCACAAAAUGUAAGCGAAAGUGCUGAAGUAGUCGCGAAGCUGCUUGGAUUUUGGAAUUAGUGGAACAUGUUUCAGCUCAAUUUUGUUUCCGCCGGUGACAAAAAGACAUGGCUAGGUUGAAAUCUGAAAUCAAACUUAUUACAUUUGUAGUUCCAAAUAGCACGCUAAUAUUUUCAUCGAUGAAAAUGAAUCUGAACGUAGAUUUUGUAUCAUAUUUGCCUGUACAGCUACUUGAUAAUAGUCCAUGGGGGUAAAUUCAGCAUUUUUACUUUUAGGGGACACACA